UACGGAAGGCAGCAGUGGGGAAUAUUGCACAAUGGGCGAAAGCCUGAUGCAGCUAUGCCGCGUGUAUGAAGAAGGCCUUAGGGUUGUAAAGUACUUUUCAUCGGGGAGGAAAAAACAAAACUAAUAAUUUUAUUUCUUGACGUUACCCGAAAAAGAAGCACCGGCUAACUCCGUGCCAGCAGCCGCGGUAAUACGGAGGGUGUUAGCGUUAAUCAGAAUUACUGGGCGUAAAGAGCACGUAGGUGGUUUUUUUAAAGUCAGAUGUGAAAUCCCUGGGCUUAACCUGGAACUGCAUUUUGAAACUGAAAUACUAGAGUAUCGUAGAGGGAGGUAGAAUUCUAGGUGUAGCGGUGAAAUGCGUAGAUAUCUGGAGGAAUACCUGUGGCGAAAGCGGCCUCCUAAACGAAUACUGACACUGAGGUGCGAAAGCGUGGGGAGCAAACAGGGAUUAGAUACC
rnacentral:rRNA from 1 species